CAAAUACAAAGGGAGAAAAAAAAGCAAGCGAGCAAAAAAUAUGUGGAGCCUGGCUUAACAUGAUUAUGUUGUGGCCUUCUUUUAUUUUAUUAUCUCUAUAUCCCUUCUCUCUCUCUCUCU
rnacentral:ribozyme from 1 species